UGGGGAAUCUUGCACAAUGGGGGAAACCCUGAUGCAGCGACGCCGCGUGAGCGAUGAAGCCCUUCGGGGUGUAAAGCUCUUUCGGCAGGGACGAUAAUGACGGUACCUGAAGAAGAAGCUGCGGCUAACUACGUGCCAGCAGCCGCGGUAAUACGUAGGCAGCGAGCGUUGUUCGGAGUUACUGGGCGUAAAGAGUGCGUAGGCGGUUUUCUAAGUUUGGUGUGAAAUCUCCCGGCUUAACUGGGAGGGUGCGCCGAAGACUGGAAGGCUUGAGUAUGGGAGAGGUAAGCGGAAUUCCUGGUGUAGCGGUGAAAUGCGUAGAUAUCAGGAGGAACACCUGCGGUGUAGACGGCUUACUGGACCAUAACUGACGCUGAGGCACGAAAGCGUGGGUAGCAAACAGG
rnacentral:rRNA from 1 species